rnacentral:rRNA from 1 species
AGAGUUUGAUCCUGGCUCAGGAUGAACGCUGGCGGCGUGCCUAACACAUGCAAGUCGAGCGAUCUUCUUCGGAAGAGAGCGGCGGACGGGUGAGUAACGCGUGGGUAACCUGCCUCAUACACAUGGAUAACAUACCGAAAGGUAUGCUAAUACAAGAUGAUAUAAGAGAUUCGCAUGGAUUUCUUAUCAAAGCUUUUGCGGUAUGAGAUGGACCCGCGUCUGAUUAGCUAGUUGGUAAGGUAAUGGCUUACCAAGGCUUCGAUCAGUAGCCGACCUGAGAGGGUGAUCGGCCACAUUGGAACUGAGACACGGUCCAAACUCCUACGGGAGGCAGCAGUGGGGAAUAUUGCACAAUGGGCGAAAGCCUGAUGCAGCAACGCCGCGUGAGCGAUGAAGGCCUUCGGGUCGUAAAGCUCUGUCCUCAAGGAAGAUAAUGACGGUACUUGAGGAGGAAGCCCCGGCUAACUACGUGCCAGCAGCCGCGGUAAUACGUAGGGGGCUAGCGUUAUCCGGAUUUACUGGGCGUAAAGGGUGCGUAGGUGGUUUCUUAAGUCAGGAGUGAAAGGCUACGGCUCAACCGUAGUAAGCUCUUGAAACUGGGAAACUUGAGUGCAGGAGAGGAAAGUGGAAUUCCUAGUGUAGCGGUGAAAUGCGUAGAUAUUAGGAGGAACACCAGUAGCGAAGGCGGCUUUCUGGACUGUAACUGACACUGAGGCACGAAAGCGUGGGUAGCAAACAGGAUUAGAUACCCUGGUAGUCCACACCGUAAACGAUGAUUACUAGGUGUUGGAGGAUUGACCCCUUCAGUGCCGCAGUUAACACAAUAAGUAAUCCACCUGGGGAGUACGACCGCAAGGUUGAAACUCAAAGGAAUUGACGGGGGCCCGCACAAGCAGUGGAGUAUGUGGUUUAAUUCGACGCAACGCGAAGAACCUUACCAAGUCUUGACAUCCCUUGACGAUGCUGGAAACAGUAUUUCUCUUCGGAGCAAGGAGACAGGUGGUGCAUGGUUGUCGUCAGCUCGUGCCGUGAGAUGUUGGGUUAAGUCCCGCAACGAGCGCAACCCUUAUGGUCAGUUACUACGCAAGAGGACUAUGGCCAGACUGCCGUUGACAAAACGGAGGAAGGUGGGGAUGACGUCAAAUCAUCAUGCCCUUUAUGACUUGGGCUACACACGUACUACAAUGGCGUUAAACAAAGAGAAGCAAGACCGCGAGGUGGAGCAAAACUCAGAAACAACGUCCCAGUUCGGACUGCAGGCUGCAACUCGCCUGCACGAAGUCGGAAUUGCUAGUAAUCGUGGAUCAGCAUGCCACGGUGAAUACGUUCCCGGGCCUUGUACACACCGCCCGUCACACCAUGAGAGCCGGGGGGACCCGAAGUCGGUAGUCUAACCGCAAGGAGGACGCCGCCGAAGGUAAAACUGGUGAUUGGGGUGAAGUCGUAACAAGGUA